UGAGGAAUAUUGGUCAAUGGGCGCGAGCCUGAACCAGCCAAGUAGCGUGCAGGAUGACGGCCCUAUGGGUUGUAAACUGCUUUUGUAUGGGGAUAAAGUCAAUCACGUGUGAUUGUUUGCAGGUACCAUACGAAUAAGGACCGGCUAAUUCCGUGCCAGCAGCCGCGGUAAUACGGAAGGUCCGGGCGUUAUCCGGAUUUAUUGGGUUUAAAGGGAGCGUAGGCCGGAGAUUAAGUGUGUUGUGAAAUGUAGACGCUCAACGUCUGACUUGCAGCGCAUACUGGUUUCCUUGAGUACGCACAACGUUGGCGGAAUUCGUCGUGUAGCGGUGAAAUGCUUAGAUAUGACGAAGAACUCCGAUUGCGAAGGCAGCUGACGGGAGCGCAACUGACGCUUAAGCUCGAAGGUGCGGGUAUCAAACAGGAUUAGAUACCCUGGUAGUCCGCACAGUAAACGAUGGAUGCCCGCUGUUGGUACCUGGUAUCAGCGGCUAAGCGAAAGCAUUAAGCAUCCCACCUGGGGAGUACGCCGGCNACGGU
rnacentral:rRNA from 1 species